UGAGUGAGUGGCGAACUGGUGAGUAACACGUGGGAAACCUGCCCAGAAGCGGGGGAUAACACCUGGAAACAGAUGCUAAUACCGCAUAACAACUUGGACCGCAUGGUCCGAGUUUGAAAGAUGGCUUCGGCUAUCACUUUUGGAUGGUCCCGCGGCGUAUUAGCUAGAUGGUGGGGUAACGGCUCACCAUGGCAAUGAUACGUAGCCGACCUGAGAGGGUAAUCGGCCACAUUGGGACUGAGACACGGCCCAAACUCCUACGGGAGGCAGCAGUAGGGAAUCUUCCACAAUGGACGAAAGUCUGAUGGAGCAACGCCGCGUGAGUGAAGAAGGGUUUCGGCUCGUAAAACUCUGUUGUUAAAGAAGAACAUAUCUGAGAGUAACUGUUCAGGUAUUGACGGUAUUUAACCAGAAAGCCACGGCUAACUACGUGCCAGCAGCCGCGGUAAUACGUAGGUGGCAAGCGUUGUCCGGAUUUAUUGGGCGUAAAGCGAGCGCAGGCGGUUUUUUAAGUCUGAUGUGAAAGCCUUCGGCUCAACCGAAGAAGUGCAUCGGAAACUGGGAAACUUGAGUGCAGAAGAGGACAGUGGAACUCCAUGUGUAGCGGUGAAAUGCGUAGAUAUAUGGAAGAACACCAGUGGCGAAGGCGGCUGUCUGGUCUGUAACUGACGCUGAGGCUCGAAAGUAUGGGUAGCAAACAGGAUUAGAUACCCUGGUAGUCCAUACCGUAAACGAUGAAUGCUAAGUGUUGGAGGGUUUCCGCCCUUCAGUGCUGCAGCUAACGCAUUAAGCAUUCCGCCUGGGGAGUACGGCCGCAAGGCUGAAACUCAAAGGAAUUGACGGGGGCCCGCACAAGCGGUGGAGCAUGUGGUUUAAUUCGAAGCUACGCGAAGAACCUUACCAGGUCUUGACAUACUAUGCAAAUCUAAGAGAUUAGACGUUCCCUUCGGGGACAUGGAUACAGGUGGUGCAUGGUUGUCGUCAGCUCGUGUCGUGAGAUGUUGGGUUAAGUCCCGCAACGAGCGCAA
rnacentral:rRNA from 1 species